UACGUAGGGUGCAAGCGUUAAUCGGAAUUACUGGGCGUAAAGCGUGCGCAGGCGGUUGUGUAAGACAGAUGUGAAAUCCCCGGGCUCAACCUGGGAACUGCAUUUGUGACUGCAAGGCUUGAGUGCGGCAGAGGAGACUGGAAUUCCUGGUGUAGCAGUGAAAUGCGUAGAUAUCAGGAGGAACACCGAUGGCGAAGGCAGGUCUCUGGGCUGACACUGACGCUCAUGCACGAAAGCGUGGGGAGCAAACAGG
rnacentral:rRNA from 1 species